GUGCACCAGUCGCGAAUCCUCCGCAAUGCGCGAAAGCGCGACGGGGCCACCCCGAGUGCCGCCCGCUGAGGGCGGCUUUUCCCCGGUGUAGACAGCCGGGGGAAUAAGGGGAGGGCAAGUCUGGUGUCAGCCGCCGCGGUAAUACCAGCUCCCCGAGUGGUGGGGACGAUUAUUGGGCCUAAAGCGUCCGUAGCCGGCCCGGCAAGUCUCCCGUUAAAUCCAGCGAUCUAAUCGCUGGACUGCGGGAGAUACUGUCGGGCUAGGGGGCGGGAGAGGCCGGCGGUAUUCCCGGGGUAGGGGUGAAAUCCUAUAAUCCCGGGAGGACCACCAGUGGCGAAGGCUGCCGGCUGGAACGCGCCCGACGGUGAGGGACGAAAGCCGGGGGAGCGAACCGGAUUAGAUACCCGGGUAGU
rnacentral:rRNA from 1 species